rnacentral:rRNA from 1 species
UUGGAGGGCAAGUCUGGUGCCAGCAGCCGCGGUAAUUCCAGCUCCAAUAGCGUAUAUUAAAGUUGUUGCAGUUAAAAAGCUCGUAGUUGAAUUUCGGGGUUAGUAGGUUGGUCAUGCCUCUGGUAUGUACUGGUCUCACUGAUUCCUCCUUCCUGAUGAGCCGUAAUGCCAUUAAUUUGGUGUUGCGAGGAAUCUGGACUGUUACUUUGAAAAAAUUAGAGUGUUUAAAGCAGGCUAACGCUUGAAUACAUUAGCAUGGAAUAAUGAAAUAGGACGUUCGAUCCUAUUUUGUUGGUUUCUAGGAUUGACGUAAUGAUUAAUAGGGAUAGUUGGGGGCAUUAGUAUUCAAUUGUCAGAGGUGAAAUUCUUGGAUUUAUUGAAGACUAACUACUGCGAAAGCAUUUGCCAAGGAUGUUUUCAUUAAUCAAGAACGAAAGUUAGGGGAUCGAAGACGAUCAGAUACCGUCGUAGUCUUAACCAUAAACUAUGCCGACUAGGGAUCGGAUGAUGUUAAUUUUUUAAUGACUCAUUCGGCGCCUUACGGGAAAC